AUAUUCUCAUAAUUUUCUUACUUUUUCCAUCUAUUUAUAUAUUCAUACAUAUACUUCGAAAUGAAGGAUUCAAAUAGCUCGAUGAUGCGCGUUUCCAUUUUCCGGCAAAGAAAUGACGCUCGCGUGACGGCAGCGUGUGCCCGCGGGGGCGUUCGAUUUCGAGUUCCCCGAAUCGCGUGCUGGCCGAGGGAAGAGAUGAUCGCCUCUCUCUUGUGGUUUGUAGGAAAGGACGUGAAGUCGGCGCGGCGCUUGUUCAGCUACGAUUCGAAAGAGGAUGCAGCCAACCGUUUUACCACGGUCGUUCGAGCGCCGCAGGCCGAUCCUGGAUUGUAGUGUGAGAUGCCAUGUGGCACGGUGUGGUCCGGUUGGAUUGGGUUCGGUUCGGUACGGUCCGCAAUGUCGAUGCGCAUCUUAAACGUGGGCGGAUCGGCCGGUCAGCCGCCCCUGGUGUUUCUCACCCGCAUGCCUGGCAUACGUGCCGCUCAUCCUCUCCUUUUUCCUUUUUCCCCUCCUUCCCACCACAAUUCCCAAGCCUUUCUUCCUCCCAGUCCGAGCUACCGGUUCCCUCCCUAUCGUUCUCGUGUCCCCUCGUGUUCCACGAUCGAUCGGUUGCUUCACGUGUACGUUUCACCUUUUUCUCUAUCUUCGAUUGCUAAUUCCGUUUCCGAGUCCGUUUCCAAGAAUCAUUUCUUCUUUUUUUGCCUCCUUGAUCAAUCGUUCCAUCCGUAUUUUUCUUGCGUUUUUCCGCGCGCGAUGGAUCGAUUAUACUUGGAAAUGAUUUUUUAUUAUCGAUACCACGAUUGAAAAUUAGAUAGUAGUAGCUGGCUGGAAGGAGAGGAGGAAGAGGAUAAGAGGAGGAGAGAAGAUGGGCCGAAAGCGAAGUUCCAUUGGAUGAGAAGAGGCGUUGAACGUUGGUUCUCGUAUAGCCCUGAGGACGUUCUCAUGAGUCGGGGGCGGCAGGAAGAAAGAUUGCCACGCUGAGAGUUGUUUUUCUGUUACUCGAGGGCAUCGGCGUUCCUCGGCAAGAUCGGUUCAGUGCGAAAUUAUUUGGCCAAUUACACCUCGAAAAUUUAUAUAGUGUCUGGUCAACCUGUUUUCAUCGAUGCUCGAGGAUC